rnacentral:rRNA from 1 species
UUAGGGGAUUUUGCGCAUGGGCGAAGCCUGAGCAGCAACGCCGCGUGGGGGAUGAAGGCCUUCGGGUUGUAAACCCCUUUAGGGAGGGACGAAAUUGACGGUACCUCCAGAAUAAGCCCCGGCCAACUACGUGCCAGCAGCCGCGGUGAUACGUAGGGGGCAAGCGUUGUCCGGAAUCAUUGGGCGUAAAGAGCUCGUAGGCGGCUUAGUAAGUCGGUCGUGAAAUACCGAGGCUCAACCUCGGCACUGCGGUCGAUACUGCUAUAGCUAGAGUUUGGUAGAGGAGAACGGAAUUCCCGGUGUAGCGGUGGAAUGCGCAGAUAUCGGGAGGAACACCUGUAGCGAAGGCGGUUCUCUGGGCCAACACUAACGCUGAGGAGCGAAAGCGUGGGGAGCAAACAGGAUUAGAUACCCUGGUAGUCCACGCUGUAAACGUUGGGCACUAGGUGUGGCGACCCGACCAACGGUUGCCGUGCCGAAGCUAACGCAUUAAGUGCCCCGCCUGGGGAGUACGGCCGCAAGGCUAA